CCGUCGGCGUCGGAGGACAUUUUAGCGGCGGAGGAUACGGUACUUUA
rnacentral:sRNA from 1 species